CUUGGCAGUGCUUCUAAAUUCUAUGUCUUCAGAACUCACCGCCUUUAUUCCAUGUGCUGGCCUUCCGCUUAAAACCAGAGGAGACUGAUGAGUAUAGGAAGCACUGCAAUGUGUAUCACCAUUUUCUGGGGUAUGCAUUGCUUGCUGUAAUCCCAAUAAACACGUUCCAUGGAAUUGGCAUUUUGAAGCCAUACAUAAUAACUUGGAAGUGGGCUUACAGUGGAAUUCUUAUUGCUUUUGCUGCCAUUGUUACAGCUCUUGAGAUGUAUACUUGGAUUAAAUUUAAAACUAGAAAAACAACUGCUGCUGCACAACGGGAGGGAGCUACUUCUGUUUCCGGUCUAUCCCCUCCAUCACCACUUCCAUGACAUGAUGCAACAUUUCCAUUGCUAGUUCAUCUUCUAAUUUCCUUUAUAUUCCUUUCUUCUUUCGUCCAUCUUGGUCUUGCACUUUUAUUGCUUUGUAUAUGUUUUUACUUUUCCUGUUUCCCUUUUUUGCUUACAUGACUGAAGUUUUGCUGUAAUUUGGGAAGCCCUAAUGCAUAUUGAUUCAUUGUUGUCA